AAUUAACGCUGGCGGCAUGCCUAACACAUGCAAGUCGAGCGAGAAACCGCCCUUCGGGGCGGGAGUACAGCGGCGCACGGGUGAGUAGCGCGUGGGUAAUCUACCUCUGCCUGGGGGAUAACACACCGAAAGAUGUGCUAAUACCGCGUAAUCCGGCGAACCUUCGGGUAAGUCGGCAAAGGUGGCCUCUUCAUGAAAGCUGCCGGGUAGAGAUGAGCCCGCGUCCCAUUAGCUAGUUGGUAGGGUAACGGCCUACCAAGGCUGCGAUGUUUAGGGGACCUGAGAGGGUGAACCCCCACACUGGUACUGAGACACGGACCAGACUCCUACGGGUGGCUG
rnacentral:rRNA from 1 species